CGGAAUAGCUCAGUUGGUAGAGCGACGCACUCGUAAUGCGUAGGUCUCGGGUUCGAGUCCCGAU
rnacentral:tRNA from 1 species